rnacentral:rRNA from 1 species
UACGUAGGGGGCAAGCGUUGUCCGGAAUCAUUGGGCGUAAAGAGCGUGCAGGCGGUUCGGUAAGUCGGCUGUGAAAGUCCAGGGCUCAACCCUGGGAUGCCGGUCGAUACUGCCGGACUAGAGUUCGGAAGAGGCGAGUGGAAUUCCCGGUGUAGCGGUGAAAUGCGCAGAUAUCGGGAGGAACACCUAUGGCGAAGGCAGCUCGCUGGGACGUUACUGACGCUGAGACGCGAAAGCGUGGGGAGCAAACAGG